AACGAACGCUGGCGGCGUGCCUAAUACAUGCAAGUCGAGCGAGAAAAGGGGGGCAACUCCCUGAGUACAGCGGCGCACGGGUGAGUAACACGUAGGUAACCUACCUUUGAGCCCGGGAUAACCUACCGAAAGGUGGGCUAAUACCGGAUAUGACCACGGGAGUCUCGGCUCCUGCGGUGAACGAUGGCCUCUGCUUGCACGCUAUCACUCGAAGAGGGGCCUGCGCGCCAUUAGCUAGUGGCGGGGUAACGGCCCACCAAGGCUCUGAUGGCUAGCUGGUCUGAGAGGAUGGCCAGCCACACUGGGACUGGAACACGGCCCAGACUCCUACGGGAGGCAGCAGUAGGGAAUAUUGCGCAAUGGGCGAAAGCCUGACGCAGCGACGCCGCGUGGGUGAUGAAGGCCUUCGGGUCGUAAAGCCCUGUCGAGGGGGACGAACCGGUCGCGACCGAACACGUCGCGGCCCUGACGGUACCCCUAAAGGAAGCACCGGCUAACUCCGUGCCAGCCGCCGCAGUAACAC
rnacentral:rRNA from 1 species